rnacentral:piRNA from 1 species
UGAUAACUAACCGCUGUCCAC